CCAUCAUUCUCUAAGCAAGUGACGUUACCUGCUGUGACUUCACCUGCGGCUAGCAUCUGGUCGAGGAGCAGUGCAAACGCCAUGGACUGAGGCAAGACUGAGGAGCCGAGAAGCAUACCCUGCCAGAAGAGUCUUGCUCAGCAGCGCCUGCAAGCCUCAGGCUCCAGUUUUUGCUGAGGCCAAGAUGCACAGCUUGUGAGGAUGCAGAGCUCAAGCAGGACAAGAUAACUCCAGUAUCACAGGUUUGUCCAUCUUGAGGGUCAGAAGAAGCACAUGCAAUAACUACAGAAGCUUGCUUGGAAAACUGCUUGGGAAUUUGCUUUCUGUCCGAGUGAUGCUGGGCGGCAUUUAGGAGGGACACAUUUCCUAAAGGACAGGAACUGCAAAUUCCAAGAGACGAAGCAGCACAAUGCUCGUAAGCCAGCAAUGAUUUCCUGCACAUGGAGCUUGUAGACUUUGUCCACACUCUGCAGAGACUUGCAGACAACAUUUGUAAAAGUUUUGUCUAUGGUAAUAUUUGGAGAAAAAUGGUUAUUACUACUUUCCUCAUAAGAUAGAGAUCCACCCAGCCUUCCCAUCUAAGAGUGCAUCUUAGCAUAGCAUUGGCCUGUAGACAUCGUUGCUCUCCUGUGAUUUUUCCCUGCCUUGUUGAUUGUAGGUGAUUAUCAGACAGUUGCACUGUCCCUCUCAAGACAUCUUUAAUUAAAACAGCACUUAGGAUUUUAUUCCAGGGUUUAGAAAUGUAUUGUAUUCUUUCUCAGCCUUUGAAUUCCUGUGUGAGCCCAGCCAGAUCAUGUUAGAAUCAUAGGAUAUCUCAAGUUGGAAGGAACCCAUAAAGGAUCAUCGAUUCCAGCGCCUGGAAAACUCGGUGCCCAUGUAUACAUGCUCUAGACCCUAUAAAUGAACAAGAAGUUAUCUUGAGUGCAGCUGUGCUCAUACGGCUCUCGGCUUAACUCUUUCAGAAACAGAACAACCUGAAAAUGAAGGAUGGAAAAAUGUGACUACAACAUCAUAACAGAAAAAGGACAACUUAAACAUAGUAGUAGAGUGAAGAGAAGAAGGGGAAAAAGGUGCCUUAUGCUUACUCAGAAAAAACCUGCAACUGUGACCUGUGUACAUAAGAGGAACUCAGAAAUUGGCGCAGAGCUGACACAUAGCAAUUAGCGGUGGAAAGUGGACAGCAAAUGGUCAUGGACUUCACACUGGUUACUCACGCCCUGAGCUCCUUCUGUAUUUGCUGCAGUAACUCAUUAUCCAGACAGAACCUUCAGGUAAGCGUCUACUGUGAUGUUAUAGCUAAGAGUACGUAUUCUCCGAAUAUGCAGGAAGGAAAAAUCAUACAGAGGCAAAGCGGUGGUGCACAAGAAGAUGGGAGGGAGCAGAGCCCAGACAGCUGACCCAAGCUAGCCAAGGGGACAUUCUAUACCAUAAACCAUCAUGCUCCGUAUAGAAACUGGGGAGAGUUGGCUGGGGCCUGCCGAUAGCUGCUCGGGGACUGGCUGGACAUCGGUCAGUGGGAGCUUUGUCGACAUUACUUACCCAUACAAACAGCCACCAAGUCAGCAUCCUUCGAACCUUUCAGAGAACCUACAGGGUAGAAAGCCUGGAGUUUGUCUAAUCAUGAGGAGACAGGAAAUAUUGAUGAGUUGAAGGUGGGAAAGAGGUUGAUGAAGACCCAUUUGGAAAAGAGUUAAGGGAGGCAAUGAUCAAAAUCAUCCAAGAGGAGAGUGAGCGAAAAGCUGAGAAGUGAAAGGAAAAUACUGGGGUUGUGUAAUAUGAGAACAAGAAGGGUGCUGAGGCUAGUGGUGCCCAGGGAGGAACGGGUUAACAUCAAAACUGAUAUGGGAAGCUCAGUGGGGAUGGAUGCCGGAUGCACUUGCUGUGAAAGCUACAGCUGAAUUUCUGUAUCAGGUAAGGUAGGAUGCAGAUAUUCCAAAAUUCUGAGUAACAGAGGAGAUGGUGGUCAGAAAUGACAUAAGCAUUUGGAUGCUGUCCUAUAAUGACCGUAACAUCAUUUCUGCAACAUCAAGGUAGUAAAAGCUCUAUACAGACAUCUGCCUUGCUGUUUUGUCAUAUACUUUGCCUUCAAGUACAUGAAACAGAAAAGAGAUGAACUUUUUACCAAAAAGCACAAAUAAGUUCAUUUCUUCACAGUGUAUUUUUUCAGUAUUUACAUAAAAGGAUUCUUAACAUCAUCUGCAAAUUUUGUGCUUAUGAUUCUUCAAAGGACAAAAUAAUAAGGAGGUAAAGCAAACUAUUUCCACAGCUCCUCCACCACUGAGAAAAAAACUUGAACACCUCAAAGAUGUCUUCACUAGAUCAAAACCAAACCAAAACAAAUUAACUGGACUAAAGAAAACAAAUGAAAUGUACUAAACAAAACAAAUUAACUAGACUAAAGGAAACCAGUGAAACCCAUUUUGCUCACCCACAGUGUGCCUGCCCUUUUCUGUCAAAAAGCAGGAAGACAUGAGAGCUAAUUCCCUACAUUUUCGCUUCCAGCCCACCCAGCACAGCACAGCCAGCCCACUCUGGAUGCUCAUGCUAAUAUAUAGCCAUGAGAGAUCUUUUAGAAGAUCCCUGACAAAAUCCUUCCCAGUUGCAGCUGACAGUUUUCUAUGAGUAAGUAUUUUGUACGAACUCCCUUUACAGGAGCCUUUCUGAGGCAGCAGAGCUGGGAUUUGUGUCCCUUAGACGGGAGAAAUUGGAGGGCGACAGGAGGAAGAAAGCAAGAUUUUCUUAGUAGUGCUGAAACCAUAGGUUUGCUCAGACAUCCAUGGAACCAGUGCAAACACACUCAUUUUUUUAAAAAAUAAUCUGUUUUAUUUGCCUAAUAUCUGCUAUGGCAGAUACUCUUCAAAGAGCAUUUUUGUGUUUCCAUGGGAGUAUGAAUAUUACAGCUCCACAUGCCUUGGAGAGCCGUAACUUCAUUGCUUAUUACCAGCUAAAGGAGAGAGUUUUGUUUUAAGAGGCUGUUUAUCUAGCAAAGAGGCCAUUUCAUCACCCCACGAGCAAACAGAAGUGCCAGGAAUGAAAAGGCAAAGGAGACCUUGCCGACCCUGAUGAUGUCCGAAAUCGUAGGGGUGGAGGGAGGGUCUGUUCAUGGGUUUUAUUUUUACAAAAGCCAUAAAACUGGUGAUUAAGAAAGACUUUGCUACGCUUGUGUUUUGUGCAUAGCAGCUAUACUGGUCCCAAAGGAUUUAGGUGCCAAACAGCUCCCACAGCCAAAAGGAGCCAGAGGGAACAUCUGACUCACUAUCUACAGCAUCACUAACAACAUCUAGCGCUGAUGCCAAGCGGACUGACUCAUUCUUGGACUGCCUUCAAGGUGCUUGUCCUGCUUUUCUACCAACACAGAGAACUUAAGCCCUAAUUUUAAGACUUUGCUUCUCAGGGAGCUGGUGCCUGAGCCUCAUAACAGCCGUUCGGUACGGGAGGCUCUCAGAUCUUGGAACACUUUGGGAAUUAUCAUGAGUUUAUGCAGAAAGGCACAAACAGAGUUGUUAUUAUACCUCACGCUGUAGCUUUCUGUCCUUAAAAUGUUUGCUUCUCCAGCCCUCCCCAUGCUCACCU